rnacentral:rRNA from 1 species
CAUUAAAACUUUUCAGCUAGAGUAUGAUAGAGGAAAGCAGAAUUUCUAGUGUAGAGGUGAAAUUCGUAGAUAUUAGAAAGAAUACCAUUUGCGAAGGCAGCUUUCUGGAUCAUUACUGACACUGAGGAACGAAAGCAUGGGUAGCGAAGAGGAUUAGAUACCCUCGUAGUCCAUGCCGUAAACGAUGUGUGUUAGACGUUGGAAAUUUAUUUUCAGUGUCGCAGGGAAACCGAUAAACACACCGCCUGGGGAGUACGACCGCAAGGUUAAAACUCAAAUGAAUUGACGGGGACCCGCACAAGUAGUGGAGCAUGUGGUUUAAUUCGAAGAUACGCGCAGAACCUUACCAACACUUGACAUGUUCGUCGCGACUCUAAGAGAUUAGAGUUUUCGGUUCGGCCGGACGAAACACAGGUGCUGCAUGGCUGUCGUCAGCUCGUGUCGUGAGAUGUUGGGUUAAGUCCCGCAACGAGCGCAACCCUCACUUUUAGUUGCCAUCAUUAAGUUGGGCACUCUGAAAGAACUGCCAGUGAUAAGCUGGAGGAAGGUGGGGAUGACGUCAAGUCCUCAUGGCCCUUACGUGUUGGGCUACACACGUGCUACAAUGGUAUCUACAACAGGAAGCAAGACUGCGAAGUUUAGCAAAUCCCUAAAAGAUACCUCAGUUCGGAUUGCACUCUGCAACUCGAGUGCAUGAAGCUGGAAUUACUAGUAAUCGUGGAUCAGCGUGCCACGGUGAAUGCGUUCCCGGGUCUUGUACACACCGCCCGUCACACCAUGGGAGUUGGUUCUACCUUAAGGCAAGGUUUCAAACCCUUGACCACGGUAUAGUCAGCGACUGGGGUGAAGUCGUAACAAGGUAACCGUA